ensembl:lncRNA
CAAGUGACUAGCCAGAAUCGAUCUAAGAUCAAGUUUGGUGCAUGUUGAGUGUGGAUUCUCAACGUCUGUUUUCAUUUUUUACGGCAAGAUCCAGUGAGCAGGCAGAUGAAUGAGGGAGGGGCCAGAGGCUUGGGGCCCCACAGAGCCCUUGUUACCUGGAUUUUCCAAUUUCUUCCUUCAGCUGAGCUGCUGAUGAUUUUUACCCCUCUCCUCCUCCCCAACUCCAUCCACUUAUCCUAAAGCCCCCCAGUGUAAUUCAUCCUUCUUUCCCAAGUCUGUGAGCCCAGCAGCAUGACCAGCCCUGUGCCAGACACUAAUGGGGAACCCAUCACUAGGAGAAGCUCGGACUACUACACUGUGUGGUCAAGGGUCUCUGCAGUUCAGACUCAGAGAUCCAGGGGGUCUGAAGAGACCACCUGUGAGUUUCGGAAGUCAGGAGGGCUUCCUCAGAGGGGGUGACUGAUUGGGCCUUAAAGAAUAGAAGGCUCCCUGGGCCAGGGCCACGUGUUUCAUGCUGGCUGGGGAGGUGAUCUGGCUGCCACUCCAGAAACCCUGGGCGAGGAGAUGUCCGCUUCUGUUUCAUGUGGGCCUUCCCCAAAGGAAGGUGACUUGUGAGACAGAGGGUAACCGCAGGUAGACGGCCCGACUCAAGAGGAUGGCCCCCUGGCUGCCCCCAGAAACCCCCCGGAUGGACUGGGCCGCUCCAGCCAAAACCACCCUGCUCACUCGGCGCCUCCUUCCUCAUUGCCCCAUUACUGUAAAUAAUAUCUUCCCAUCCGAACAAUUAGCCUCCUGGUUUUAAAGCUCCCAGUUUGUUUUUUUUUUCUGGUUCUGAGGCCCUAACGUUGGAAAACACAAGCACAACCAGCAUCUGUCUGCGGUCUCCCUCCAACCUGCCCGGCCAUUAAUGCUCUUAUAGCCGCCCUCCCCGCUUUGCUCCUCCUCCCGUUGCUGGGUUCUGGGAGGGGGAGGAGCCAGCUGCCCGUGCAGGGAGGAGGCGGGGCAGCUGAGCUUCCUCCAGGAUCUGCCCCGCCCUGCAGGGCUGGGAGGGGAUCUUUAAAACAAGUUCCUAAGCCUCCCUUCCGCGGAUGUGCAGAGUCACCGGUCCAAGGGAGGGGAGAGUUAGCCGAGAUCUCAAGUCAGGAAGGGUUUAGACAGCAGCAGCGUGGUAGUAAUGGUCUCACGUCCUCCCUGGAAAGUGAAACAGCUUCUCCUCUGUCUGUUCCCUCACCUCCAUGUGUGUAUUUUUGGAGCUAAAACUCAGGACAUCUGGUCCAAUAAAGAGGAUGAGCUCCUAGACGAUAGGAGACGCGAAAUCAGGGCUGCCCGGGACUGAGAGGUGAGCUGGGCUGCUGCCCCGCUGGGCUGGGGACAAACUGGGCACUCAGCCACAGCCAGCAGGGCCCGCCGGGGCUGAACGGGAGGCAAGGACACGCCUGCCCUUCCUCCGCGGUUCUCCAGGAUGUCCUCGGAGCUCCAGGGGGAGCGCAAGCCCAGCAUCCACACCCCCACCUCCACCUGGUUGUCAGUUCCAGCACGUUCCCCCUCGCCGAGGCCCCCCAGCCAAGGCUGCCUGAAAAACUCCACCGGGAACAUGUACAGGACACCUUGGGUCUAAUGUAACAUUUAAUGGCCAAAUCUCUUCAGGCCCCUGCGUUAAUACAGAACUAUCUUACUGGUUCUUACCAGACAGAGUCACACUGCUAAUGGCUCCAGGGCUGAAGCUGGGCAAGAAGGAGGGGAUGAAGGAGGCAGUGAUCACAGACACCUUGCAAUAGCCGGGAAAGGCGGAGGUGGGCCAUCGGGAAGGCCAGAGGUCUGCCCUUGACCUCUAAAGGCCGGGCCCUGCAGCAUUCAUCUCUCGCAUCCCGGGAGCCUGAGGCUGGGUUGUGCCCACGUCCUUGGACACCAAGGGGCAGAAGGAACUGUACCCUGGCCAGCUAAGUACUUCCAGGGCCUCAUCCGUGCCCCUCUGCUCCAUCAGGUAAAAUGGAGCAACCCUCCCUCUAGCACUUUCUCCAGCUAGACCCCCUUCCAGCUCCGCCUCU